GAUUCGUCGCUUGAAGCAGAUGUGCUCGUGGCGGUGGUGGUGAUUCUGCUGACUCUGUUGCUGCUGGCGACUGCGACACAGCUUUACAAGCGCUUCAAGAAACAAAGUGUGAAGAUGGAUGCGGGUGAGGGAGAUACGCUUAACUAGCUUUCCCGAAGAGCUACCGAAUAA